UACGGAGGGUGCUAGCGUUAUUCGGAAUCACUGGGCGUAAAGCGCGUGUAGGCGGCCCACUAAGUCUGAUGUGAAAGCCCGGGGCUCACCCCCGGAAGUGCAUUGGAAACUGGUGGACUCGAGUCCCGGAGAGGAGAGUGGAAUUCCUGGUGUAGCGGUGAAAUGCGUAGAUAUCAGGAGGAACACCGGUGGCGAAGGCGGCAUCCUGGACCGAAAUUGACGCUGAGGCGCGAAAGCCAGGGGAGCAAACGGG
rnacentral:rRNA from 1 species